rnacentral:misc_RNA from 1 species
UCUAAGGAUGAUCCUUCAGCGAGCUUCGGCUCACUAUCGGAUCGUUUUAGAAACAUCAGUGGCCAACGGUCGUCAGGAUCGUUGAGCUGCAUUGGCGGGAUUUCGCCGUCUACGUUUCUCUUUCUUCGCGGACGAACACGCGCUGGGCCUGUAUGCGCAGGAUCCCUGGUCCUUGACGGGAUAUGCGUUAGGGGCUUGUAGCUCAGUUGGUUAGAGCGCGCGCUUGAUAAGCGUGAGGUCGGAAGUUCAAGUCUUCCCAGGCCCACCACACUCAUCGAGUGAGCAUUCGUCUUCUGGUUACGGGGCCAUAGCUCAGCUGGGAGAGCGCGUGCUUUGCAAGCAUGAGGUCGUCGGUUCGAUCCCGUCUGGCUCCACCAGCCUUCGCUGGCUAAGCCAGCUACGGCUAGGCGAGCCGGUCGAAUGCGAAGGCUGCCACGUCGGAGCUCGAAAGAGCGGAGACGGGCUGGCGCCUGACCGACCAAGAAUCGUCCGCGAAACAUCACUUCGCACUUACUAGUCCGGAUGGACAGUGAGCUGCGUGUUUUCUGACAUUGUAAAGAGGAGAUCGAUCCGAGUUGGAUCGUGCAGAGAAUAUCUGCGCGAGACUUCAUUAUCUCCGGAUCAUUUCGGCGCUCGCGCGCCUUUCAGUGUGGCUCACAAGGCUGCGUCUGAAAGACAUGCGAGUUGUAAAUGAUCCUUUUAGCGAAGCUUGACCGCCUCGCUAUCGGAACGAUCUUACGAAGCAAGCUGGUCUUUCUAAUCAUUGUCCGGCUGCAGAUAGCGUUCAUCGAGGGCGCGUGCCUUAGAAACUUAGGUUUCUUGGCAAUUCUGCAGACAACAUUCUGCCGAGUGUGUGGACAUUGAUAAUGAGAGCAAUCAAGUGCCUUAAGGGUGUUCGGUGGAUGCCUUGGCGCUGAGAGGCGAUGAAGGACGUGCUACGCUGCGAUAAGCCGUGGGGAGCUGCGAAGAAGCUUUGAUCCAUGGAUUU